GCAUAUCAAUAAGCGGAGGAAAAGAAACCAACUGGGAUUGCCUCAGUAACGGCGAGUGAAGCGGCAGAAGCUCAAAUUUGAAAUCUGGCCCCUCUGGGGGUCCGAGUUGUAAUUUGCAGAGGACACUUCGGGUGCGGCUGCGGUCUAAGUCCCCUGGAACGGGGCGUCGGAGAGGGUGAGAAUCCCGUCUGGGACCGUGGACCUGCCCCGUGUGAAGUUCCUUCGACGAGUCGAGUUGUUUGGGAAUGCAGCUCUAAGUGGGUGGUAAAUUUCAUCUAAAGCUAAAUACUGGCGGGAGACCGAUAGCGCACAAGUAGAGUGAUCGAAAGGUUAAAAGCACCUUGAAAAGGGAGUUAAACAGCACGUGAAAUUGUUGAAAGGGAAGGGGUGGCAGCCAGACAGGAACUCGGGGGCUCAGCGGGCAUCCCGUGCCCGUGCACUCCCCCGCGGUUCCGGCCAGCAUCAGUUUCGGCGGCCGGUCAAAGGCCCCGGGAAGGUAUCGUCCUCCGGGACGACUUACAGCCCGGGGUGCAAUGCGGCCAGUCGGGACUGAGGAACGCGCUCCGGCACGGAUGCUGGCGUAAUGGCUGUCAGCGGCCCGUCUGAAAACACAGGAACC
rnacentral:rRNA from 1 species